rnacentral:sRNA from 1 species
UAUUCGAGGGGGUCCCGUUGAACUGCUAAU